GGAGGACCGAUAUGGAGAGCUGUCCAGGCUGUGAGGGGAGCACUCGUAUUCUUUUGACCUUUGCUAGAAGAGGGAAUACAGCGCUCUCCCUCACAGUCUGUACAGCUCUCUGUAUCUCUUCCUC
rfam:Physcomitrella patens subsp. patens PHYPAscaffold_31 genomic scaffold, whole genome shotgun sequence.